rnacentral:misc_RNA from 1 species
UCCGAGUUAUCCCCGGCAGUCUCCUAUGAGUCCCCGGCCGAACCGCUGGCAACAUAGGACAAGGGUUGCGCUCGUUGCGGGACUUAACCCAACACCUCACGGCACGAGCUGACGACAGCCAUGCAGCACCUGUGCUGGUACCCGACUCUACGGGUCGCCGACCCUUUCGGGCGACUACUGCCAACAUGUCAAACCCCGGUAAGGUUCUUCGCUUUGCAUCGAAUUAAGCCACGCGCUCCGCCGCUUGUGCGGGCCCUCGUCAAUUCCUUUGAGUUUUAGCCUUGCGGCCGUAGUCCCCAGGCGGAGGACUUAUCGCGUUAGCUGCGGCACCGAGGGGGUCGAUACCCCCGACACCUAGUCCUCAUCGUUUACAGCGUGGACUAC